rnacentral:rRNA from 1 species
CCUACGGGAGGCAGCAGUGGGGAAUAUUGCACAAUGGGGGAAACCCUGAUGCAGCGACGCCGCGUGAGUGAAGAAGUAUUUCGGUAUGUAAAGCUCUAUCAGCAGGGAAGAAACCCACCCUCCGGGGUGGCUGACGGUACCUGACUAAGAAGCCCCGGCUAACUACGUGCCAGCAGCCGCGGUAAUACGUAGGGGGCAAGCGUUAGACGGAUUUACUGGGUGUAAGGGGAGCGUAGGUGGCAAGGCAAGUCAGAUGUGAAAACCCGGGGCCCAACCCCGGGAGUGCAUUUGAAACUGUCUGGCUAGAGUGCAGGAGAGGUAAGUGGAAUUCCUAGUGUAGCGGUGAAAUGCAGAGAUAUUAGGAGGAACACCAGUGGCGAAGGCGGCUUACUGGACUGUAACUGACACUGAGGCUCGAAAGCGUGGGGAGCAAACAGGAUUAGAUACCCUAGUAGUC